rnacentral:rRNA from 1 species
GACGAACGCUGGCGGCGUGCCUAAUACAUGCAAGUCGAGCGGACGGAUGGGAGCUUGCUCCCAGACCGUCAGCGGCGGACGGGUGAGUAACACGUGGGCAACCUGCCUGUAAGACUGGGAUAACUCCGGGAAACCGGGGCUAAUACCGGAUAACUCUUUCCCUCACAUGAGGGAAAGCUGAAAGAUGGCAUCUCGCUAUCACUUACAGAUGGGCCCGCGGCGCAUUAGCUAGUUGGUGAGGUAACGGCUCACCAAGGCGACGAUGCGUAGCCGACCUGAGAGGGUGAUCGGCCACACUGGGACUGAGACACGGCCCAGACUCCUACGGGAGGCAGCAGUAGGGAAUCUUCCGCAAUGGACGAAAGUCUGACGGAGCAACGCCGCGUGAGUGAUGAAGGUUUUCGGAUCGUAAAACUCUGUUGUCAGGGAAGGACAAGUACCGGAGUAACUGCCGGUACCUUGACGGUACCUGACCAGAAAGCCACGGCUAACUACGUG